rnacentral:rRNA from 1 species
GAUCAUGGCUCAGGAUGAACGCUGGCGGCGUGCCUAACACAUGCAAGUCGAGCGAACUUCUUCGGAAGUGAGCGGCGGACGGGUGAGUAACGCGUGGGUAACCUGCCCUAUACACACGGAUAACGUACCGAAAGGUUACGCUAAUACGAGAUAACAUAUUUUUAUCGCAUGGUAAGAAUAUCGAAGCUCCGGCGGUAUAGGAUGGACCCGCGUCUGAUUAGCUAGUUGGUAAGGUAACGGCUUACCAAGGCGACG